GGGGGUGCACUGGUUUCGACGGGGGUCGUAUAUGUAGGGGCAGCCAUCCGUAGCGGAUCCUACGUUAAAAGCCAACUUUUAAAUUAAACGCAGAAGACAAUUUUGCAUUAGCAGCGUAAGCUGCUAGUCUCCUCUAGCUGACCCGUAGGCUAGAUGUGAGGCUCCGACUCUCGCGGGGAACGACUUGUGCUAAGCUUUGCCCACAAGCUGUAUCUAUGAAGCUACCUAAACUUUGAGUUUGUUGCUAGACGCUUAGUAAGGGGAAUACUAAAAUAUCAACUAUGAUGGUAGAGACCACAACUUAUAGGCUUUCGGACAGGGGUUCGAUUCCCCUCACCUCCAUUG
rfam:Epulopiscium sp. Nuni2H_MBin001 Nuni2HMBin001_69, whole genome shotgun sequence.